rnacentral:lncRNA from 1 species
CUUUCACCCCACCCCCCAAAAAAAGCCCAAAACAUUCGUUAUUUAUUUUGCUUUUUCAGCUAGUUACAGCCAGCAGACUGGACCCCAACAACCUCAGCAGUUCCAGGGAUAUGGCCAACAACCAACUUCCCAGGCACCGGCUCCUGCCUUUUCUGGCCAGCCACAACAACUGCCCGCUCAACCACCACAGCAGUACCAGGCGAGCACUUACCCUCCACAGACUUACACUACCCAGACAUCUCAGCCUGCUAACUAUACUGUUCCCCCCGGCUCUCAGCCUGGAAUGGCUCCAAGCCAACCUGGUGCUUACCAACCAAGACCAGGUUUUACACCAUCUCCUGCAAGUACCAUGGCCCCUCCUUCCACUGGGGCUAACCCUUAUGCUCGUAACCGUCCUCCUUUUGGUCAGGGCUAUACCCAACCUGGACCUGGUUAUCGAUAAGGAGGUUCAGCCACACUAAUAAUGAUGGCUUAUUGCCUCCUAAAAGACUAUACAAUACUAUUUUGUUUCAAUUUGUAUUGUAUUGAAGUUUAAAAAUUUAAAAAGCAGAGCAUUUUUUUAUGAUAUCAUUGUUGCUGUUAAUUGAAAAUAUAAUUUACUGGAAUACAAACACAAAAAGACCAAAAUGAACAUUGUUUCCUCCCCUGCUUAAAAUUGUAGCCGCUUCCUAAUUAUUUUGGAACACUACUCUUACCUGCGUGUAAAAUGAUUGGCUUUCUAGCUUCCCAGAGAAUAUUAAAAAGUUAGGCUAAGGUAUAGCCAUCACACUUGGCUAUUUACUAUUAACAUGAUGUACUAAAUAAAAAUAGAGCCCUUUGAGAAGAUGACUAGACAUUAUGUAUAAAAUGUAACAUUGAUAGGCUAAUAAAGGUGAUUGAAUC